rnacentral:rRNA from 1 species
UCUGCUCAAUGAUUUUUUAAAUUGCUGUGGUAUUUUGACUAUACAAAGGUAUUGAAAUAAGAUUUUAAUUGAAUGCUAAGAGAAUGGAAGUCCAGAAAAAAACUUUUUUUAAAUUAAAAAUUGAAGUUUUUUUAAUUUGUGCAGAAACAAUUAUUUAUAUUAAAGACAAGAAGACCCUAUGAAUUUAUUAAAUUUUUAUUUAAUAUGUAAUUACUAUUAGAAAAAUUUUGGCUGGGGCGGCUAGAAAAUAUUAUGAACUUUUUAAAAAUAAAAUGAUCCAUUAUUAAUGAUUUUAUGUUAAAUACUCUAGGGAUAACAGCGUUAUAUUUUUUGAUAGAUCAUAUUGACAAAAAAGUUUGCGACCUCGAUGUUGGAUUAGGAUACUUUUUUAAUGAAGAUAUAAAAAAAGAAGUUGUGCAGCUGACCGGC